rnacentral:ribozyme from 13 species
CAUAAAAAUGAUCAAAAGUAAUGGAAAAAGAGGGUUCUUUUUCUUUUCCUUUUCCUUUUCCUUUUUUCUUCUCUCCUUUGUCUUCUUCUUUCCUUUCUUCUUUUAGUCCUUGUUGUUUUAAUUGUUCUACCACCUCUGUAGGUCCCAUCUUGUAAUAAUUCAAAUUUUGUAAAAGAGAAACACAAUCAUUGACCCCAAUUGUUACUCCCUCCUCCUCCCUCUCUCUCUCUCUCAUCAUUUCUUUCUCUUCUUCGGAAAG